GGCUUAAUACAUGCAAGUCGAACGGCAGCGGGUCCAGCAAUGGAUGCCGGCGAGUGGCGCACGGGUGCGUAACACGUAUGCAACCUACCUUUAACCGGGACAUAACCUCGAGAAAUCGUGGCUAAUAUUCCAUAAUAUCUUUGAAUCGCAUGGUUUGAAGAUCAAAAUUCCGAUGGUUUUAGAUGGGCAUGCGCGACAUUAGCUAGUUGGUGAGGUAAUGGCUCACCAAGGCUACGAUGUUUAGGGGGUCUGAGAGGAUGAUCCCCCACACUGGUACUGAGACACGGACCAGACUCCUACGGGAGGCAGCAGUAAGGAAUAUUGGGCAAUGGGCGCAAGCCUGACCCAGCCAUGCCGCGUGCAGGAUGACAGCCCUACGGGUUGUAAACUGCUUUUAUACGGGAAAAAACCCUCUGACGUGUCAGAGGCUGAUGGUACCGUAAGAAUAAGCAUCGGCUAACUCCGUGCCAGCAGCCGCGGUAAUACGGAGGAUGCAAGCGUUAUCCGGAUUUACUGGGUUUAAAGGGUGCGCAGGCGGAACGACAAGUCAGUGGUGAAAUCUCCUGGCUCAACGCAGGAAACUGCCAUUGAUACUAUCGUUCUUGAGUCCAGUUGAAGUAGGCGGAAUGUAGCAUGUAGCGGUGAAAUGCUUAGAUAUGCUACAGAACACCGAUAGCGAAGGCAAGCUUACUAAACUGAAACUGACGCUCAUGCACGAAAGCGUGGGGAUCAAACAGGAUUAGAUACCCUGGUAGUCCACGCCCUAAACGAUGAUCACUCGUUGUUGGCAACUAUAUCGUCAGCGACUAAGCGUAAGCAUUAAGUGAUCCA
rnacentral:rRNA from 1 species